GUUAUCCAACAAGAUUAUCGUCCGAGGCACGAAAUCACGAAGCAAUAACACUAGAAAGAUCCCCACAACGUAAGUAUUGCUACAUAGCCUCUCUUUUUCUUUGUAGUUUGAGUUUUAGAAGGUAUUUUGAAGUUAAUAAAAAAUGCCUAAUUUAUGGUUUCAAGCUCUUAAACAUCAAGGAAGAUUGAUUAAUUUAUUUCAUAAUAGUUAGAACUCAUGGGACAGUGAUCGGAAGCCGUGAGUUUGAGUUAUUUAAUUUGUAAUGGACUGUUUUGUGGGAUGUUUCGUGUAGCUUUUGGGUUGUAUAUUUUGCUGUUAUUUAAUUGAGUUUUUGGAAGAUAAAUGGUGUGGAUAAACAUCACUUAAUGGCCAAAUGAUGGAUUACCCAAUCUUUGUAAUAUUUUCGGGGUGUUGGACACUACUAUAGUCGUCAUUUUUGGUAUGAAUUGAUUGGGGUGUGUUGGGCUGUUGUAAGCUAAAUAUAACAUGGAUUUCGACUUGCAUCCACUGUAGAAGGUAAUUAUAUUGUGUUCCUACAGGAUCUUAAGAUUAUCUUGGCAUUGGUUAAGUUAAAUGGAUGAACUAGACAUGAACUAGUGAAUAAAGUUGCUAAUUAAGAAUAAUUGGAGCUGUGGAUCAUUUUCUUUGUUAUGAAUAUAUGGUAUAAGGCUGGAAUUAUUGAUGAAUGACUUCAUUAUCAUGUUAAUGAUACUAUUAAGUUAAAUUAAAAAGUCUAUAAAGGAUGAUAUGUGGUAUACGAAUUCCAAUUGGAGCUUGUCGCUCGUCGUAAAAUAGUUAUGACUUGUUGUUGUUUUAUGAUGUCUUGUUAUUGAUAAUUAUGUAUUAGUGGAUUUCUCUGGUAAUUGUUGUUGGUAUAUAGUAUUGGAGGAGGCUCUUAUUUUAGGGGAGAUGCUGCCCGAAUUUAUUUAAACGAACUACAAAUUUAAGUUGCAGUCUUAGCCUUUAUUCAACACUGAUUUUGAAUCUCCUUAUGAAAUGGUAGAUUGAGUUGAAUUAUUUGAAGAGUAGCUUGAGAGGUAUUAAGGACUCACCAUAGUUAAGGUAUAUUAAGGUACUUCCCAAUUUCUUUUGGCAUGAUCUAAAGUGAAAUGAAUACGCUAUUUCAUAACGGAUCUACUCCUAGCAACUAAGGUUGCCCAUGUUGUUCUUUCCUUAUAAAGUUAAUCUAAGCAAGUAUGUAUGAUCCUUGAAUCCUAUAAAAGCUCAUAUUGAUGGUAUGAUGUCCAUAAUGUUAAUAGACGGUGCAACGACCUUAAGUCACUCCAAAAGGUUUAGAACGUGAUUUCAUGAGUCUAGCAUGCAUUAUAUAUAGUAUCUAUUUUACUCUACCGAGCCACGCUAUAUGAUGAUGAUGAUGAUGCCUAUAGAGGCGCAUGUUUUUAAAAGUUUAUGUAUAUAUAUGUAUUAUGCAUUUCAUGUCAGUAGCCCCCAGAGGCACGCAGAUGUUACAGGUUAUAUCUCCUCUAUCUUUCUUUAUAUUAAUGUUCUUAUUUAUGCUUUCCUGCCUUACAUACUCGGCACUUUAUUUGUACUGACGUCCCUUUUGCCUGGGGACGUUGCGUUUCAUGCCCGUAGGUCCCAAUUGAUAGAUUGACAUUCCUCCUAGUAGGCUAUCAGCUUAGAGGAGGUGAUGGUGCACUCCACUUGCUCCAAAGUUGCCUAUUUGGUCAGUAUGCUUUGGAUAUGUAUUGAUUGGUAUGGUGAGCCCUGUCCCGGCCUUUAUGAUUUUAUGUACUCUUAGAGGCUUGUAGACAGAUGUCAGGUUUAUGGAUAUUUGUAUGGCCUUGUUGGCCUAUAUGUUGAGUUUACAAAUGGUCAUAUCGGCCUUAUAGGCCCGUAUGUCACAUGUAUAAGUUUGUAUAUCAUGUUGGGUGGUCAUAUGUUGAGUACUCCCUUAUGUUUUAUCUCAUGAUGGGUUUCUGGCUCAUUUACUCAAGAUAGUAUAAUAAAAAAGAUAUGUUAUGUUGGUACUCGGUUGAGUAAGGAACCGGGUGCUCGUCGCGGCCCUUCGGUUUAGGUCGUAACAGAAGUGGUAUUAGAGCAGUUCUAUACUAGGAAGUCUACAAGUCGUGUCUAGUAGAGUCUUGUUUAUGGGUGUGUUGUGCACCACACUUAUAAGCAGGAGGCUAUAUGGCAUUUAGGACUGUCACUCUUUCUUCUUGCUCUAGAUCGUGUUGUAGAGCUUAAUUGUAAGAAUUCAAACUUCUAAAUUCUAUUAUAUUCGUAAUACAACAAUACCUCAUCCAAAUAAACAGUUGGUAUGAGAUUGAAUGUGGUUGUGGAAGAGUUGAGUCAGAGGAACUCGAUUUGGCAUCAUGCUUAUGAUGAGCAAAUGUGGGGUCUUCAGCAGAUCAUGUGUGUUCUAAGAUGUGUAAGCUUCUUGAUAAAGAGCCCUAAGGCAAGACUAUCUAUCCACUCGUAUGGUAGAAAGGAAUAAGUUAAUCGGAAAGUAGACACAAGUUUCAGCAAGUAAAACAAGCAAGACGACGAAGGAUACGAGGUACCUAGUUAAUGAAGAUUACCAGUAUUUACAAUUCAAGCAGAGAAAUGUAAGUAUUGGUGUUACCUUCAAUAUAAAUGGUGAUAUAUACAAUUUACCACACCCAUCUCUGUUGUGCCCUAUGGGAGCUAACAAAUAUAGUUUAAAAGAAGACGGUGAUAUCAAGAUUCAAUUUGUGUUAGAGUAACCCAAAAUUAUGGAUGGAUUGUUAUCAUUAACUAAUGUAUCCGAAGGAUAGUGCACAUGUGGUAAUAGAUCUCCUUGUGAGACACCUAGAUGGUGAACUUUAGAAUAGUACAAUCAGAUAUGAAUACUGGAAUAUUCAGAAAUUUCAGAAGAUAGGCAGUGGGAUCCUAGAAGGGACAAAAAUUUACCUUAGUAUGAAUCUAGCCCCGAGUAAAAAAAAGGAGAAUGUUAGGCAUUCCGAAGAGCCAGUGAGAUGAAGCAAGGGGAACUAAAAGGUAAAGAACAUUUUGUCAGAGUUUUCAGAAUAAAGUGAUAGAUAAAGAUAUUAUCCGGAGAAUAAGAAGAGAGUAAAUGAAGCAUCAUGAGUAAGAUGUAAUAUAUGGGUGAUAACAUUAAAUCAAAAUAUGACACGAUGACAGAGUCUAUAGUCAAGUGAAGGAAAAUACAAGAGGUGACAGGCCUUGAGGCGAUAAAAGAGUAUAAGCCAUAAAGUCAUAUCCUUAUUUUGAGAAAUGAGUUGGUGACUUCAAUGUGAUUACCAGGAGGAAAGGUUAGACCCAGAGUAAUAAAAAUCAGUAUGGGCUGGUGAACAAGAUAAAUUGAACCUGAAUUAGGGACUGAAGGAUUUUAUAAUGGUUGAUAUCAUGAAAAUUUCAGAGAUAACAUUCCGACAUUAAUAGAAUGGACUAAAAAUUAAUAACCUUUAAGGUUCAUUUAGGAAGAUGCUUCCCUAAAGCAAACACGUGGAUCAGAGUUAAGCUUAAGGGAGUAAGUGUGUCAGUUACACUAAGUGUCACCUUUGUGCGUAAUAAAUUCGAUUAUCCCCACUAUAGAGAGGUUACCAUAAGGCGAUUAAGAUGUUAGUGAAGAUGUGAAAAAAAUGGCAAGAUGAAGAGGUAACUAUGGAAUAGUAAAGGAGGAAUGCGGUAAAAGGGUGAAAGGAAUGAGAUAACAUCUAUUUAGAUCCUAUAGAUAUGAUAUGACUCUAGAACAUUAUGCAAGCAUGACGCCAGAGAGAAGUGGUAAGGGUUUCGCACCCGAUGAUAUUGAUAAAUAAGUGCAAAUGAACACUUGAUACAUAAGAAGCCAGUGCGAGAGGUAACUUAAGACAAAGUAAUUAACUAAAGAGAGAUUACACGGAAUAUAGAUAUGAGAAUGGACCAACGAGUAAUUUAUAGUUGAUUCAGGAAGAGCCAAGUUAUGGCUAUACAAGAGGUUAUAAGCAAAUCAGCAGAUCAUGCAAGAUAAACAUAGUGAAUCCUAAUCUAGUAAAUUCAGUCUCGCAGAUAUGAUGUCGUAACCUUGAGAAAUAUUCAGAUAGGAGUUGGGUUACUAAAGGUACCAUAUAAGUGUUACGGAAAUAAUGGAGAGUUCCACUAAGGAGACAAUCAAAAUCUGAGUUUAGAAGUAACCCUAUGAGCACAAGGCACGAAGGUAUGUAACUAAGGAUGUUUGUAGGCAAGUAAGAACAUCGAAAAUUCCUUCGGGUAUAGAGUAUAACAAGAUCGUAACUUUACAAGAUCCAGAAGGUCUCUUUAAGUACUACAAAGAAAGACUAGCUGAGGAAAUAAGGAAGAAGGCUUCAACUUAAGCAUAAUGAUAUAAAGAAGAAAUGGUCUUGUAACAACAGUCUCACUACAAUAUGGUAUACACUCCAUAAGAAAGUGGCACCUAUCGUGACUAAUGAACCGGAAGUCAAAAGUGAUAUUUGAGAUCAUAUGAGUUAUAGGAAAUUCAAGUAUUGGUGGGCAAUAAGAUAAGCCAAGUAUUUAUGCAACAAGUGGCAUAACGACCAGGAAAAGUGAUUGCUUACAUUUAAAGAACGCUGAGAAGGCUGAAAGGAAUUAUUCAAUCAAUGAUCCAGAUUUAAUUACGUUGUGAAUGCACUUAAGACUUCAGAGAUAUAUCCAUGCAGCACAUAUGUUGACAUUCAUACAGCUGUAGGAGACUCUGAUAUAAGUUAAAAGAAAGAAUUAAGUCCACAUCACCUAUAAAGGCUUGAAUUGUUAGAAGAUUAUAUCAUGGAUGCUACAUAGAGUCCAUGAAAGGCUAAGGUAAUAGCUAAUACCCUAAGCUGAAGAUUAGAAGAUGGCCUAAGCUUAAUUAAAGGCUGAGAAGGAAGAGGAAGCUCGAAAGUUACAUCAUGAGUCCGAUUGUUAGACCCAGAUGAUUAUAGAAAUCGUGACUCAAAUCAUAUCAGGAGCACUUUUAAUAGUAGAGGUAUAAGAGAUAUAGUACAACAAUCAUAUUCUAUAAAAUCUCUACGAUAAAGCAAUUAGAAGAGUACCAGCCUCAUAAGACGUUAAUACAAAGCUCCCACUAGAUUGUGUAUGCACCAAGGUUUCAAGUAUUAUAGUAGAGCUUUAAGGUAUGGGUGUGAAUUCCACCAAUGUAGAAGGGAGGUUAUGAAAUCGAUAGAAGAUACGGUGCGAGAUUUAAAGGUAAGUAUGGUAAAUGUGAGUGAGAAGAUAACAAUAAUAGGCAAGGUCUCAGGAUUAAACCCAUCAAAAUAAGAGAGUUGAUGCUUUCCAUGAGCUAUAGAAAGCUCGGUACACUCUGAAUGAACUUAGAGGAGUCUAAGAACAGGAGCAAUUAAAAGAGAUGGAAUACUGCCCUGGUAGUAGAAUAAGGGUGUAAUUGUGAUAGUUAAGAGAAUGACGUUUGUGCCUUCGAUUGAGUAAUGAUUUAAAGAAAAGGGAUUUCAUGGAUGGCACGGUAUUAGAAUGCCCCCGUAAGAUGAAUACGUUAGGAUGUUAUGAAAAUGCAGUUAUUGAAGUAUAGUAUCGUCCCUAAGUGCAUCAAGAAAAUCACUUCAGAUGUUCCCCGAUGAGACGCGGGCCUUAGUGACAAUGUAUUACAUCCGAGGCGAUGGUUGGAGUUAGUGAAAGACUAUGAUGUUUAUAUUUUAUAUCAUCUAGGGAAGGCGAAUGUAGUAGUCAACGCCCCCAAUCAUAGAUCUAUGUGUAGCCUAUCAUAUUUAUAGGCAUAGAAGAGUGAGAUAGCUUGUGAGAUUCAUCUUCUAGCUAAUCUUGGAAUUCGAUUAUUAGAUGCAGGUGGUACCAGAGUUACUACUUAAGACAUGGAAACCUCCUCUUUAGUAAUUGAAGUGAAGGAAUGCCAGUAUGAAGAUCAUGUGCUAGAUCAUUAUAGAGAUACAACCCCUAAAAAGGAGAAGACACCAUUUGACAUUACAGGAAAUGGAGUCCUCAGAUAUCGAGGUCGAAUAUAUGUUCCUAAUGCGGUAGGGUGAGAUGGAGUCCUCAGAUAUUAAGGCCGAUUAUAUGUUCCUAGUGUGGCAGGGUUGCGCCGGUAGGUUAUGGGACAAGCAAUGAGAAAGUAACCUAGAGUUGUGUAGCACACCACGGUAAUAAUACCAAGGCUAUUAAAUGAAAUAUAGCAAUAGUCAUACAUUCAGCAAAGUACCAAGCAAAGAGCUUAAGUAUACCUAUAUAUGACCAAGGGACAUCUUGUCAUAUUUCUAUAUAUGUAUUCACAAAGUGAAGCCAAGAGAUUGGUAAAAAGCUGGUCGAAAAAAGAGAGAAGAGUCGUGCAUAAAAGGACAUAGUCAUAUAGGAUACAUCAUAGAAGGUAGUCGAAGUUACGAGAUUUGAAAAACUUCGUCCAUAAUUUGCGAGGUGAGAAUAGGCCUAAAGGGGGGAAUGCCCUAGUUUUUAAAUUUAUUCACAGAACAAUUGCCUAGAUGACAAAGGACAAUAUUAAAGUAUUCAUAAGAGCCAUAUGGUAUGAGAAUGAGAAGCCCAUCAGUCAAUAUUCAAGGAUAAAUAUUCCAAAUGGGGCAAUAAUGUUACAACCCAUGUUUUUGUACCUGAAAGUACGUCGUGAGUAAAUUGAUGUAAGCUCAAAAAGGAUGAAAUCCUUCUACAAGAUAAGAAAGGUUUGCCGAAGUUUUAAGCAAGUUAAGAUGAAAAUAAAACUUGUUAAUCAUGAUUUAAAUGCGUUUAAAGCCAUGAUAUGACUAUAUAUGAUGUUUGUAUAUGAAGUAUAAAGUUUGAGAAAAAUCAGAUUUAAGUUGCGGAAAAACCGACUAAGGAUUUGCCUUGUAAUGGAGCUUUUUGAGUAAUAAAUUUCGUGUGCUAUAUGACGUCUUUUUGGACAUAUUAUAUACCAAAUUGAAGGUCUUGGAAUGUAGUUUCCAAUGCUCUUAACAGUUUAUUUAUACGACAUUCGGAUAAAACGAUAUAAGUAUUUGAAAAAGGGCCAAUGAGAUGGUGCCAAGUAGCACCUUUUGACUUUUCAACCAAAAUGGAUACUUAUCUUCCUAUGUCAUCUCUUUCUUCAUAAUUCCAGGGAGCUCUACCAAAAACCCCUAACCUCACCCUUAAGCGGUCCACAAGGUUAUCCAACAAGAUUAUCACCCGAGGCACGAAAUCACGAAGCAAUAACACUAGAACGAUCCCCACGACGUAAGUAUCGCUAUAUAACCUCUCGUUUUCUUUGUAGUUUGAGUUUUGGAAGGUAUUUUGAAGUUAAUAAAAAAUGCCUAAUUUCUGGUUUCAAUCUCUUAAACAUCAAGUAAGAUUGAUUAAUUUAUUUCAUAAUAGUUAGAACUCACGGGACGGUGAUCGGAAGCCGUGCGUUCUAGUUAUUUCAUUUGUAAUGGACUAUUUUGUGGGCUAUUUCGUGUAGCUUUUAGGCUGUAUAUUUUGCUGCUAUUUAAUAGAGUUUUUGGAAGAUAAAUUGUGUGGAGAAACAUCACUUAAUGUCCAAAUGAUUGAUUAGUCAAUCUUUUUAAUAUUUUUGGGGUGUUGGACACUAAUAUAGUCGUCGUUUUUGGUAUGAAUUGAUUGGGGUAUGUCGAGCUGUUGUAAGCUAAAUAUAACAUGAAUUUCGACUUGCAUCCACUAUAGGAGGUAAUUAUAUUGUGUUCCUACAGGCGCUUAAGGUUAUCUUGGCAUUAGUUAAGUUAAAUGGAUGAACUAGACAUGAACUAGUGAAUAAAGUUGCUAAUUAAGAAUAAUUGGAGUUGUGGAUCAUUUUCUUUGUUAUGGAUAUAUGGUAUAAGGCUGGAAUUAUUGAUGAAUGACUUCAUUAUCAUAUUAAUGAUACUAUUAAGUUAAAUUAAAAAGUCUAUAAGGGAUGAUAUGGGGUAUACGAAUUCCAAUUGGAGCUUAUCGCCGUCAUAAAAUAGUUAUGGCUUGUUGUUGUUUUAUGGUGUCUUGUUAUUGAUAAUUAUGUAUUGCUGGAUUUCUCUGGUAAUUUUUGUUGGUAUAUGGUAGUGGAGGAGGAUCUUGUUUUAGGGGAGAUGCUGCCCGAAUUUAUAUAAACGAACUACAAGUUUAAGUUGCAGACUUAGCCUUUAUUCAACACUGAUUUCGAAUCUCCUUAUGCAAUGGUAGAUUGAGUUGAGUUGUUUGAUGAGUAGCUUGAGAGGUAUUAAGGACUCACCAUGG
rnacentral:lncRNA from 1 species